rnacentral:lncRNA from 1 species
ACAGAGUGACACAAGGACAUAGAUCGAGGGGCAUUUGAAAACAUAAAGUAAAGUGACACUAGAGUUAGUGUGAGUCAAAGAAUCAAAGUGAUGUAAGAAUGAUGAAAAUGACAAUGUGUAAAGUUAAAGUAAAGUGGGGCAAUAAGAACGAGAAAUGUAAAGAAUAUAAUUGCUAGAGUUAGCAAAAGUAAAGGAAAAGUAAAGAAUAACGAUUGCAUGAGUUUGCAACAUAAAGUGAUGUAAUGAACACUAGAGCUAGUGUAAAGUCAAGAUUGAACUUAUAAAUCCUUUGAGUUAAGGAUAUGAUCAUACUUGCUAUGAGUUCCGUGCUCGAGGGUGGUCGCUCCCCCUCGGGCGAUGCGCUCCGGAGUUAUGCAUCCGGGUUGGAGUAAACCCGUAAGGACGGUCCUAGCUGGUGAGUUCCUGCGAUGAUGGACUUAAUGUGAAGCAAGUUAAUGUGGCGAAACCCCCGGGCUAGCCUUAAUGAUUAAAGAACAAAGAGCAAAGAACAAAGUGUAAAGUGUAAAGAACGAAAGAAUUUGCAUAAUCUGCAUGUGUUUAAUGUUGAGCAUAUUCCUUGCUUUUGUUCAGGCAUAUUAGCAUUACGUUGUAGAUCGGUUACUAUAUUUCAGCUUAUCCUUUCUAUUAUGCCUGAGUUAGUCCUAGUGGGAAAGUCGGUGAUGUUUGGGCCGAACCCACUGGGAACUUUGUUGUAGUUCUCACCCCACUAUUUCCACAGAGCCGGGACCGAGCGAGCCGGCGAGCGACCGAGGUAAAGGUAUCGCGCCUUAGUCAGAGGCCACCAAUGUUGGGUUUCAUUUUGCAGUAGAGUACCUUAUGAUCAUCUUUUGUAUGUGAUGAUUAGUGAUGUAAAGAAAGAAUGUAAAGCUUAUUAUGAUGUAAUGAAUGUAGGGAAUUUGAAAAUGAACAAGAUGAAUGCAAUGCAUAUGAUCAAAAAUGAAUCAUAGUACAAGUGAAUGUUUAGUUUCCUUUCUUUCACUAAUGGCUAUUGCUUACCCUCGUGUAAGCCGUUUGUGUAUGUUUCCGCUAGUGCUUUUCUCUAUUGAUGAAAAUGUGCAUGUGAUGAGCCUUGGGCGG